CAAAAAGGUCCUUUCAACCUGCAGGCAACUCCAAGUCCAAAAUGAAACGAGCCCUCUGAGGACACACAGCCUCUCGAUGGGUGUUGUUCUGCUGGCUGCUACAGCAAAGGGCUCGUUUACAUUGUUUGUGUGCCUGUGCUGUGAUCAUCUUCUGUCCAUGCUACAAACAAAAGCUCGACUAGAACAACACUACCAGCUGGGUUCAUCUUGUAGCAAAGGCAGUCCACAGGCUGGCAGUUGGUGCUGAUUUUUUUUCCAAGAGAUGCUGCUCACAGGGCUGGUUGGCAGCCAGCAGUGAACUACUGCACAUCAGGGCAGUUUUGCUCAGUCUUCUCCAGAAAAGUGAAGGAAGGGGAUUUUUACGUGAAGACAGCUGCCCAACAUGCAAAUAAGAUCUAAUUUAAGACCUUAUUAACCUUGAAACUAAGACCUGUGCCACGGUGGACUGUGAUAAGCAUCAUCUUGAGAGCUGAAAGGCGUGCAGCCAAAGGUUCCUCCAUUUACCUCAUCCAUGAGUAUGUGAGACCAACCUCGUGUCCAGAGAUGCACCAACGAAGUGCUGGCAGGUCAGAGCAGAGUUUUUGGGCUGCACAGAAGGAGAUGGAGCUGUGGCUGAAGGCAGAAACUGGUCCCCCUUCUUCAACCCUUGCAGAUUCCAGCUCCCUGGUCUACCACGCACGGUGUCUGGGGGAGGGGGGUGACAAGUUUCAGGAUGACAGGAAAUGAUGCUGGUCACUACACGCUGUCCUAUCCUCUGCAUCAAGAACAGAAGACAGAAAGAAGCUGAAACAGCCAAUGCUUUUCUGGCAUCUCUGAACUCAUCCAUAAUUGCAAAGCCUUUGGAAAUGUGAAUGCAUUCUAAAUAUUAGUCAAAAAAAAUAAUAUCUUUUUCUGAAAGCAUAAGAGGACUGAGCUUUCUUUCUGAGUUACUUACAAUGUGUCAGUGCAUUUGUAAGGGAGCUACCAGGGUUGCUACAGGUGUGGAGUGGAAUGAGAAAUGAUCUUGUAUGAAAAAGAAAAUAAAGAAAAAAUCAGCAAGUCUUAGAUGUUCUUU
rnacentral:lncRNA from 1 species